GUGUUUGCUUCGACAGCAUGUAUACUAAAAUUGGAACAACCCACAGAAGAUUAGCACGGCCCCUGCACAAGGAUGGCGUGCGGACUCCCGAAAUGUCCCAUGUUGUU